AGAGUUUGAUCAUGGCUCAGAAUCAACGCUGGCGGCGUGCCUAACACAUGCAAGUCGAGCGAGAAAAGGGGAGCAAUCCCCUGAGUACAGCGGCGCACGGGUGAGUAACACGUGGGUAAUCUGCCCUGGAGUGGGGAAUAACACCGGGAAACCGGUGCUAAUACCGCAUACGAUCACAGAGUCUGCGGAUUUUGUGAUGAAAGGAGCAAUUUGCUCUAGGAGGAGCCCGCGGCUGAUUAGCUAGUUGGUGAGGUAAUGGCUCACCAAGGCAACGAUCAGUAUCCGGUCUGAGAGGACGGUCGGACACACUGGAACUGAGACACGGUCCAGACUCCUACGGGAGGCAGCAGUGGGGAAUUUUUGGCAAUGGGGGCAACCCUGACCAAGCAACGCCGCGUGGGUGAUGAAGUCUCUUGGGACGUAAAACCCUUUCGACGGGGACGAAAGCCGCAAGGUUUGACGGUACCCGUAGAAGAAGCCCCGGCUAACUCCGUGCCAGCAGCCGCGGUAAUACGGGGGGGGCAAGCGUUGUUCGGAAUUACUGGGCGUAAAGGGCGCGUAGGCGGUUCGCUAAGUCGGAUGUGAAAACUCUGGGCUCAACCCAGAGCCUGCAUCCGAAACUGGCGGGCUAGAGUUCUGGAGGGGGUAGCGGAAUUCCUGGUGUAGCGGUGAAAUGCGUAGAUAUCAGGAGGAACACCGGUGGCGAAGGCGGCUACCUGGACAGAAACUGACGCUGAGGCGCGAAAGCUAGGGGAGCAAACAGGAUUAGAUACCCUAGUAGUCC
rnacentral:rRNA from 1 species